AAUUAGUCGAAAACCAAAAGACUAAGGAGUUGAAAACUACAAAAAAUACAGAGACCUACGCAAAAGGCUAAAAAAGCUGGAGAAUCAGCCAUUACACCCUAAAAGGUCUUCUUCUUCAUUAGAAAUAAAAACCAGCAGCCCUUAAGAAAAUCUUGAGCAGCCAUACACGUAGGAGACAAAACCAAAGAGAGGUCAGCCGCAAAAACCAAGCGAGACCCCUCCCCAGCUUCUUCUUCAUUAGGAUACAAGAUAAAACCCUAAUAGCCUAAGGAAAAUAGGAGCGGCUAAGACUUAGCACACCCAUGACCUUUCUCCUUCACUUCACGCCAAACGACCCCAUCUCCCACAACUGAACGGAACUUCACACACACGCACACGCUGAAAACAGUUGAAUCCAUCUUGGAACUCGUUUGCAAGAUCUGUUCAGCGCCAGAUAUUGAAGUGUUGAGUUCGUAGAGGUUCGGUGCGUCGAGGUCAUACGGCGAGGAAGAAGAUCGAUCUUCAGAUCUGCUUUGCCCAAAAAUUAUAUUACUGGAGUUCUGCUGAGGAUGCCAUAAUCAAACAUACUUGGAAAAAAGUGGCAUCUACCUUGUACACUAAAAAGUUGUACGUUUGGCGAAAAUUUAGAACCAGACCUACUUUUGUUAAAGAGCAUAUAUGGGAAAGCUGGCAGGCACACUGGCCCUUGGAAAAGUGGCUUGAAAGAUCUCGUGUCGCCCCUCAAAAUCGGUGUAGCGAGACUGGUGGUCCAGGCACUGGUCCAAGCAAGCAUACCGGUGGUUCUAGGUCUACAGUGGAGAAUACUAUAAAAUUGGCAAUAGAAUUACGCCGUCCAGCAAAUUCAUGGGAUAUAUUUAAGAAGCUGCAUAAAAGAAAGGAUGGGAACUUUGUGAAUACCAAGUCUAAGACCGUUGGUGUAAGUUUCUUUUAUAAUAUUUCAUCAUUUUAGUUGAGAAUGAAUAUGAGGAAUAUUACUGGUGCAAUUCACUUAUUUGAAAGCUUCUUCACAUCAUCUCAUUUCUUGUUUAAUUUCUUGUUGUGAUGUAGUAAUGAAACACAUAUUGUGACUUAUUCAACUUCUUAUUAUGCUUCAAAGAAUCAGCUUAUAAGUCACUAAGUAUAAGUUUAUUUUUACUUAAGAAGAAUAUCAGUUGAAAGCUUGUGAUAGCAUCUAUUUUGGUCUAGUUUUUUUAUUCUAAUCUUGGAAAUAUAAUCCUAUGAGUCUAUGACUGUAUUAGAAAAAAUUGAGUUUACAUAUUAAAGUGAUUGGAAAAUGACGAGUCAUGACACGUAGACUAGUCAAAGAGUUAUGAUUUGCAAAGAGGCACGAGUUGUAACAGAUAGAAGUAGAGGCAUAAGAGGAGGCACGAGCAGAUACUCAAAAGAUUCAACGUCCGUACCUAUUUAAGUCCAAGAAUCAAGGAGAAUGAAUCUGACAGUACAAGA